rnacentral:rRNA from 1 species
UGGCGGACGGGUGAGUAACACGUGGGCAACCUGCCUCAUAGAGGGGAAUAGCCUCCCGAAAGGGAGAUUAAUACCGCAUAAGAUUGUAGCUUCGCAUGAAGUAGCAAUUAAAGGAGCAAUCCGCUAUGAGAUGGGCCCGCGGCGCAUUAGCUAGUUGGUGAGGUAACGGCUCACCAAGGCGACGAUGCGUAGCCGACCUGAGAGGGUGAUCGGCCACAUUGGGACUGAGACACGGCCCAGACUCCUACGGGAGGCAGCAGUGGGGAAUAUUGCACAAUGGGGGAAACCCUGAUGCAGCAACGCCGCGUGAGUGAUGACGGCCUUCGGGUUGUAAAGCUCUGUCUUCAGGGACGAUAAUGACGGUACCUGAGGAGGAAGCCACGGCUAACUACGUGCCAGCAGCCGCGGUAAU